GUCCACGCCCUAAACGAUGGCAACUAGGUGUUGGGGAAGCGAUUUCCUGGUACCGCAGCUAACGCGUGAAGUUGCCCGCCUGGGGAGUACGGUCGCAAGAUUAAAACUCAAAGGAAUUGACGGGGACCCGCACAAGCGGUGGAUGAUGUGGAUUAAUUCGAUGCAACGCGAAUAACCUUACCUACCCUUGACAUGUCCGGAACCCUGCUGAGAGGUGGGGGUGCCCGAAAGGGAAUCGGAACACAGGUGCUGCAUGGCUGUCGU
rnacentral:rRNA from 1 species